rnacentral:rRNA from 1 species
GUCUAUGGCCAUGCCACCUUGAACAUGCCUGAUCUUGUCUAAUCUCAGAAGCUAAGCAGGGUCAGGCCUGGUUAGUACUUGGAUGGGAAACCACCUAGGAAUACCAGAUGCUGUAGGUG